CCUACGGGAGGCAGCAGUGGGGAAUAUUGCACAAUGGGGGGAACCCUGAUGCAGCGACGCCGCGUGAGUGAAGAAGUAUUUCGGUAUGUAAAGCUCUAUCAGCAGGGAAGAAAAUGACGGUACCUGACUAAGAAGCCCCGGCUAACUACGUGCCAGCAGCCGCGGUAAUACGUAGGGGGCAAGCGUUAUCCGGAUUUACUGGGUGUAAAGGGAGCGCAGACGGCUGUGCAAGUCUGGAGUGAAAGGCGGGGGCCCAACCCCCGGACUGCUCUGGAAACUGUAAAGCUGGAGUGCAGGAGAGGUAAGCGGAAUUCCUAGUGUAGCGGUGAAAUGCGUAGAUAUUAGGAGGAACACCAGUGGCGAAGGCGGAUUACUGGACUGCAACUGACGUUGAGGCUCGAAAGCGUGGGGAGCAAACAGGAUUAGAUACCCGUGUAGUC
rnacentral:rRNA from 1 species